rfam:Saccharomyces cerevisiae Lalvin QA23 chromosome Tnknown QA23_c1001_146, whole genome shotgun sequence.
UAUCUGGUUGAUCCUGCCAGUAGUCAUAUGCUUGUCUCAAAGAUUAAGCCAUGCAUGUCUAAGUAUAAGCAAUUUAUACAGUGAAACUGCGAAUGGCUCAUUAAAUCAGUUAUCGUUUAUUUGAUAGUUCCUUUACUACAUGGUAUAACUGUGGUAAUUCUAGAGCUAAUACAUGCUUAAAAUCUCGACSCUWUGGAAGAGAUGUAUUUAUUAGAUAAAAAWUCAAUGUCUUCGGACUCUUUGAUGAUUCAUAAUAACUUUUCGAAUCGCAUGGCCUUGUGCUGGCGAAUGGUUCAUUCAAAUUUCUGCCCUAAUCAACUUUCGGAUGGUAGGAUAGUCGGCCUACCAUGGUUUCAACGGGUAACGGGGAAUAAGGGUUCGAUUCCGGAGAGGGAGCCUGAGAAACGGCUACCACAUCCAAGGAAGGCAGCAGGCGCGCWAAAUUACCCAAUCCUAAUUCAGGGAGGUAAGUGACCAAUAAAUAACGAUACAGGGCCCAUUCGGGUCUUGUAAAUUGGAAUGAGUACAAUGUAAAUACCUUAACGAGGAACAAUUGGAGGGCAAGUCUGGUGCCAGCAGCCGCGGUAAUUCCAGCUCCAAUAGCGUAUAUUAAAGUUGUUGCAGUUAAAAAGCUCGUAGUUGAACUUUGGGCCCGGUUGGCCGGUCCGAUUUUUUCGUGUACUGGAUUUCCAACGGGGCCUUUCCUUCUGGCUAACCUUGAGUCCUUGUGGCUCUUGGCGAACCAGGACUUUUACUUUGAAAAAUUAAGAGUGUUCAAAGCAGGCGUAUUGCUCGAAUAUAUUAGCAUGGAAUAAUAGAAUAGGACGUUUGGUUCUAUUUUGUUGGUUUCUAGGACCAUCGUAAUGAUUAAUAGGGACGGUCGGGGGCAUCAGUAUUCAAUUGUCAGAGGUGAAAUUCUUGGAUUUAUUGAAGACUAACUACUGCGAAAGCAUUUGCCAAGGACGUUUUCAUUAAUCAAGAACGAAAGUUAGGGGAUCGAAGAUGAUCAGAUACCGUCGUAGUCUUAACCAUAAACUAUGCCGACUAGGGAUCGGGUGGUGUUUUUUUAAUGACCCACUCGGCACCUUACGAGAAAUCAAAGUCUUUGGGUUCUGGGGGGGAGGUAUGGUCGCAAGGCUGAAACUUAAAGGAAUUGACGGAAGGGCACCACCAGGAGUGGAGCCUGCGGCUUAAUUUGACUCAACACGGGGAAACUCACCAGGUCCAGACACAAUAAGGAUUGACAGAUUGAGAGCUCUUUCUUGAUUUUGUGGGUGGUGGUGCAUGGCCGUUCUUAGUUGGUGGAGUGAUUUGUCUGCUUAAUUGCGAUAACGAACGAGACCUUAACCUACUAAAUAGUGGUGCUAGCAUUUGCUGGUUAUCCACUUCUUAGAGGGACUAUCGGUUUCAAGCCGAUGGAAGUUUGAGGCAAUAACAGGUCUGUGAUGCCCUUAGACGUUCUGGGCCGCACGCGCGCUACACUGACGGAGCCAGCGAGUCUAACCUUGGCCGAGAGGUCUUGGUAAUCUUGUGAAACUCCGUCGUGCUGGGGAUAGAGCAUUGUAAUUAUUGGCUCUUCAACGAGGAAUUCCUAGUAAGCGCAAGUCAUCAGCUUGCGUUGAUUACGUCCCUGCCCUUUGUACACACCGCCCGUCGCUAGUACCGAUUGAAUGGCUUAGUGAGGCCUCAGGAUCUGCUUAGAGAARGGGGCAACUCCAUCUCAGAGCGGAGAAUUUGGACAAACUUGGUCAUUUAGAGGAACUAAAAGUCGUAACAAGGUUUCCGUAGGUGAACCUGCGGAAGGAUCAUUA